AGUGGGAUAGCUGGGUGAAAUGGUGGCUUCAUUUCAAGUUUUCUGAGGAAUAUCCAUACUGCUUUCCAAAGUGGUUGCACCAAUUUGAAAUCCUACCAGGGAU
rnacentral:pre_miRNA from 1 species